CUGAAAAGAACGUCUUGCCCUCAGGCUGCCCCUCACACACAACCUCCUUCCAGGGGAUCUCAGAAAUGGCUCUGGAGAACCAAGAGAGGAUUUUAUCUGGGAAAGAAAGAGCUUAGAAAAUUUUUGGCUGCCCAGCUGGAAGUGAAGGAGUGAGACAGAAGGAACCACAGCUGCUCUUACUCCGGGUGGAGACCUUGAUCCAGAGAGGGCCUGCCUGAACAAAAGAGCCACAAUUUGGGGAUUUCACAGCUGAGUGGGGAGGACAGACCCUGCUGGCAGGAGAGGUGACAUCCUGGCUGUCCCCGUGCCAGGAUGGACAGAGAGUGGCUGCCACACCCGGCACCUCUGCCCCACCACCAACGGGGAGGUGAAGGGAGAGCUCCCUGCCCUAAUUAAUUUAGAGUGGCCUGAAGAUAAAUCCAGGCUGAAAAUGCCUCCCUUGCAGCUUGGAGUUUACAUUCCAGGCACAUAUUUAUCCAGAGCCUUCAGACCGAGCUCCAGCAGCUCUGGCUCACGGCAAGGGCAGGUUCUCCUGGCUCCUGCUGAGCUUCCACAGGUGGCACACCUGGAAGCAGCGAGUUUGGGACCUGCUGCAAGCUUCAUUCCCUGCCUAUUCAGGAGGAAAUCACUUCUCAAGGCCUCUACAAGAGGCUGCUGGUGGAGGGGGAGCCCAGGCAGCUGCUGCUUCCCUGAGCAUCCCUGCAUUCCAGGGAAAACGCUGCUCCAGCACCCACAGGUUCAAGAAUGGUUUCAGCUUUCCCUGGGCCAUAAAGGACACAGGUGUGGAGCCACAAUCUCAGAGGAGAAAGGAAGGUGUUUUUUUAAAAAAAAUGUGUGUUUUUCACCAUGUUUCUUUUUUUUUGAGAACUGGGGAUGAUUUUGCAUUUUGACCAGUUCAGAACAGUUUCAUGCUGUGCUGUGGGAGCAGAGAGAUGUGAACCAGAAGCAAAACCAGCACUCAGAGGCGUCCAAAUCCGACUUGGAGACCCUCACACAGCAAAGCAUAAACACAGGUAAUUCUGAGUCAUCUGAUUCCUCAAUUUCUCCUUCAAAAACUGACAAAUUGCCCUAAUUUAAUUUUGCAUUUAAUUGCAUGUGCAGCGCUGGACUCCCGUCAGUGAUCUUAGAUUAAAAACUCUUCUCUUUACACAAAUUGGGUAGCACGUCCUGCCACCCUAUUUACACCCAGAAACAGGCACAGAUUCCAGACCUCAUGAAACACAUUUGAAGUGAAGCUUGAAGUGGCAGAUUUGUGAAGAUGGGAGCCCCGAGUGGAAAAGUGCCUUCACAGCCCUGCAACAGUUUGGGGAGUUAAAUGGGGUCUGUGGGGUGCAGCCAAACACCCAAAACGCUGGAGCUGCCACUGAGGAGGAAAUUUAUUCCAUGGGGAGAGGCCUGAGUUUGUCCUUCUCUGGAUUUGUGCAGAAAGAGGACAUCUUUCGACGUUAUUCCAACACUUUGCCUGAGUGCUUAAAUCAGCUCAGAAGUGCCACAGCUGAGUAAACCCGGCUCGCAGGCGGUGAUUGCUUCUUUUGGAAGGCUCCGCUCGACAGCAGCAGCUGAAACAGAGCAGCCAGGAGAAGCACUUCAUUAAAGAGCUGUGACAACACUGCUGCAGCCUGGGCUGCUCCUGCAGGGAACAGAGCCUUUAAGGAGUGACAAGGAACUUUUCCUUUGCCUUUGUGCUUCCAUGAUCCGGUGGGAGAUGUUCCACUGUGUCCCAGGUCUGAUCCCUCUUUAGCUCCCCAGCCCACAUCCCACAGACAGAAGCUUGCAGCUGCCUUUUCCCAAGGCUGGAAGUUAUUUCGUUGCUCAUAACCACAGCCAUCAACCUCAUCGACCUCCUUAAGUUUUGAUCUUCUAGAGACCUGCCCUCAUUGUCGCCUCUUCAAAAACAACCCUCCCCUCGGCAGCCAGGUAAACUUGUCCUCUCCCAGCUCCCUCUUCCCUCUUGAAUUAUUUACUGAGGUCACAGAUUUCUUAAAAAAUCAGACAACAAGACAUGGAGGAGCGAAGAGAGCCCUUUGUAGGUUUGUGUCUGGGAAUUAAUUUACUGCCUUGGACUGGGGGAUGGCCGAAGGGAAGAUGCGAAACCCCACUCACGACACGAUGAAAUUGCUUCUUGUUGCUCCUUGUUUCAGGUCAGGCAGGUUAUUGUGCCUGGAAAUUUCUUUUAGACAAGAUCCAGUUGCUGCAGAGGAUGAAGUAAUCAAAACCUUGGGAGCCUCAGCAAUUUACAUGGAAAAGCAGAGGUGAUCCGGGGUCGGUACCUCACAUCUGCUCUGCUCAGGCCAGGGUUGCACCCGGGAUGGCUUUGAGGAGCUUCUGUCUAAAACAGACCCAAAGAAAGAGUUUAGCAGCAGGGAACUGUGUUCAGAGGGGGGAGUGCAGGGCGCAGUCCUGGGCUUGCUCUGGGGCUUCGUGGCAGCAUCUGCGUUUUCAUAAUCUUAUUUGGAAAAAAGAAUAAUCAUUUCUGGCUUUAAGUUGUAGAGGGAGAACUGAACAGCACAGGUAAUUCUAAGGUUGUGAUCCGGAGCUGUUCCAUUACCCAGGCAAUUCCAAAGUUCUAGUGGGCACACAGCACAUUUCAGCUCUUAUAUUUUAUAUAAAAUCAUACAGAUUUUUGAUAGAGUUCAGUGCAGCCUCUCCUGCUGUGAAACUGAGGAUUUCUGAGCAAGCCAGCUGGAUCUGUGGAUUUGCCAGGAUGGAGGGCAGAGGAGCUGCCUGGGAGAUUUUGCCAUCUCCAUCCUUGGGAUUUCAAGGCCUGCUGGGGGAAAAUCCUGAGCCAGCCUCUAGGGGUUGAAUCUGAACCCUCCUGAGUCCUUUCCCACUGGGGAACCUUGGGAUCCUGUUUUAUAGACAUUGUGAACUGUUUUCUAGGUAUGAUAGAGGCUUGCUAUAAAUUCAUGUGUACCAUUCAUUCAACAAUCCGUGGGUUUAUUUAUUUUUUUUUUUCCUGACCUCUGUGAGCCCUGAAUGAACCCGUGAAAACGUGAAAGGGAAAACAACGAAUUUCUCCUGUCUGAAGUGAUCUAUCUGUUUUGCUGUGGCUGCCAAAGUGAGAGGCACAGUCCCAUCUGUCCUGCAGCACUGGCCAGGCUUCCCAGCUCACCGGGGCAGAGACUGCAAUGGAGCAGCGCCAGGGAAUUUAGGGCUGAAGUAAAAGCUGGGAAAACAUGGGUGACUCUCACAGGAGCUGAGGGAAGUUCAAGGUCACUGUGAGGAUCACCAGAGCUGUCCCAGGACUUCAGUUCCUGCAGCGCUAUUGAGGUGUUCGAUUCUCUGCAGGAGUGGCAGCAGAGGUGACCCCUGAGUGAGGGCUGGAAAGAGGAAAAUCAGGUCUCCUCUUAGACUCUGAGAAGGGAAUUGUUGCAGUCCAUUAAGCCUGGCAUGGAAUGCAAUUCCAAAGAGGGAGGGGUGACCUGGCAGCGGCCAGGAUGGGAGCAGGGCUGGGAUCAGCCUCUCUGGGAUGGUUUGUGUUGGAAGGAACAGGGAAGGGAUUCUGCCGGAGCAAUGGGCCAGGAGAAUGAUCUGUGAGGAGAGGUGGCUGUCAGUGAGGAGGAUUGGGAUUUGUCAGGGUCAGAGAGAGAUUUCUAACAGCCCAAGACAGAGGUUAAUCAAGAUCAAGAUGAGCACUUUGCAAUGUGCAGUUAAAAGGCAAAACUUGCCUAAGAAAGACCUUAGAAAUGUGCAGGGAAAAGCCCAGAAUUUGCUGUAACUCCAGCAGAACUUACAUCAAAUGACAUAAAAGCUGGCAGGACCUGACUCUUCCUUGGGGGUUGGAAUGAGAUGGUCUUUAAAGUCCUUUCCAACCCAAACCAUUCUGUGAUAAAUCCAGAUAACACAGGUGCUGGGAAGCAAAGGCACUGUUAAAUGGUGAGAGAUCAUAACUUUGUCUGCCUCUCUUUAUUCCCAUUAAAACAGUUUGGAAUAAACUGUUGGUGAGACAAUACUGAGGAUACAACCCCAGUACAAUUAAUCAGGACCCAUGGACAGCACAGCCAGGCAGAGAAACCAUCUCUGUUUUACUCCUUGAACCCAAUUAAUACAAAAUUGCUUAUUAGCAAUUAAAUAGCUGAUGUUUAAAUAUUAAAAAUUCUUGUAAAUAAAUAUUUGAGGAAAAAGAGGUGAUCACAGGCACUUUGUCCUGGCGCAUCUCUUUAUUAAUCUCUUCCUUGCGAGAAACAAAAAUGAGGGAAGAAAGCAAAACCUUUUUCUUGGUGCAAAUUGGCCCCAAAGUGAAUCUUUAAGGGAUGGAUAGAUGGAGCUGAGGUACUGAGGAGCCAAUAAGGGUGGGCAGUACAGACAGAUCUUGACAAAAAUCCCUGCUGCAAUAACAAAAUCUACAGUGAAGAAUUCAGGUGUUGUAGCAGACAUUUGGGGAAAAAAUCCCUUACCUGCAGUAAAAUACUCCAGCAAGUCCUAGAGUUUUAAAAUUCAUGCAAAAGGUGUCUGAAGUUACCAAUGGCUAUUUAUGUUCUUAAA